AACGUAGGGGGCAAGCGUUGUCCGGAUUCACUGGGCGUAAAGAGCACGUAGGCGGCUUGUCAAGUCGGGUGUGAAAGCCUUUGGCUCAACCAAAGGAUUGCACUCGAUACUGGCAGGCUAGAGUCCAGUAGAGGAAAGUGGAAUUCCCGGUGUAGCGGUGAAAUGCGCAGAUAUCGGGAAGAACACCGGUGGCGAAGGCGGCUUUCUGGGCUGUGACUGACGCUGAGGUGCGAAAGAUAGGGGAGCGAACAGG
rnacentral:rRNA from 1 species